GUGUCUGUACCCUAGUGGUAAAAGGCAGCACUCUAGAUGCUGACGUUGUGGGUUUGAAUCCCACCAGACACA
rnacentral:tRNA from 1 species